rnacentral:rRNA from 1 species
UACGUAGGGGGCAAGCGUUGUCCGGAAUCAUUGGGCGUAAAGCGCGUGUAGGCGGCCCGGUAAGUCCGCUGUGAAAGUCGGGGGCUCAACCCUCGAAUGCCGGUGGAUACUGUCGGGCUAGAGUGCGGGAGAGGCGAGUGGAAUUCCUGGUGUAGCGGUGAAAUGCGCAGAUAUCAGGAGGAACACCAAUUGCGAAGGCAGCUCGCUGGAACGUAACUGACACUGAGGCGCGAAAGCGUGGGGAGCGAACAGG